AGCCUACGGGGGGCAGCAGUGGGGAAUAUUGGGCAAUGGGCGCAAGCCUGACCCAGCAACGCCGCGUGAAGGAAGAAGGCUUUCGGGUUGUAAACUUCUUUUAACAGGGAAGAGCAGAAGACGGUACCUGUUGAAUAAGCCACGGUUAACUACGUGCCAGCAGCCGCGGUAAUACGUAGGUGGCAAGCGUUGUCCGGAUUUACUGGGUGUAAAGGGCGUGCAGCCGGGUUUAUAGGUCAGAUGUGAAAUCCCGCGGCUCAACCGCGGAACUGCAUUUGAAACUGUAGAUCUU
rnacentral:rRNA from 1 species